UACAGAGGUCUCAAGCGUUGUUCGGAUUCAUUGGGCGUAAAGGGUGCGUAGGCGGCGCGGUAAGUCGGGUGUGAAAUCUCGGAGCUUAACUCCGAAACUGCAUUCGAUACUGCCGUGCUAGAGGACUGGAGAGGAGACUGGAAUUUACGGUGUAGCAGUGAAAUGCGUAGAUAUCGUAAGGAAGACCAGUGGCGAAGGCGAGUCUCUGGACAGUUACUGACGCUGAGGCACGAAGGCCAGGGGAGCAAACGGG
rnacentral:rRNA from 1 species